rnacentral:rRNA from 1 species
AUUGAACGCUGGCGGCAUGCUUUACACAUGCCAGUCGAACGGCAGCGCGGGCUUCGGCCUGGCGGCGAGUGGCGAACGGGUGAGUAAUACAUCGGAACGUGCCCAGUAGUGGGGGAUAGCUCGGCGAAAGCCGGAUUAAUACCGCAUACGACCUGAGGGUGAAAGCGGGGGAUCUUCGGACCUCGCGCUAUUGGAGCGGCCGAUGGCAGAUUAGCUAGUUGGUGGGGUAAAGGCCUACCAAGGCGACGAUCUGUAGCUGGUCUGAGAGGACGACCAGCCACACUGGGACUGAGACACGGCCCAGACUCCUACGGGAGGCAGCAGUGGGGAAUUUUGGACAAUGGGCGAAAGCCUGAUCCAGCAAUGCCGCGUGUGUGAUGAAGGCCUUCGGGUUGUAAAGCACUUUUGGCGGGAACGAAAAGGGCUGUGCCAAUACCACGGUUCGAUGACGGUACCCGCAGAAUAAGCACCGGCUAACUACGUG